rnacentral:rRNA from 1 species
UACGAAGGGGGCUAGCGUUGCUCGGAUUGACUGGACGUAAAGGGCGCGUAGGCGGAUAGUACAGUCAGGCGUGAAAUUCCUGGGCUCAACCUGGGGGCUGCGUUUGAUACGUAUUGUCUGGAGUUCGGAAGAGGGUCGUGGAAUUCCCAGUGUAGAGGUGAAAUUCGUAGAUAUUGGGAAGAACACCGGUGGCGAAGGCGGCGACCUGGUCCGAUACUGACGCUGAGGCGCGAAAGCGUGGGGAGCAAACAGG